rnacentral:lncRNA from 1 species
CUUUAAUGUUUACAUCAGUCACUCAAAUUUAAUAGAAAAAUUUAACUCUGUUUUAAGAUUAGCCAAACACUGUGAAAAGAUAGAGGGAAAAUCUGGAGACAGGACGACUGUGCAAAAAGAAAGGAGCAGAGGAUAUGGAAGUGCUAGCCGUUAAACCACACGCCUGCUUCUUUAAUUUAAAUCCCAAGGUGAAAAUAUUCACUCAAUUUUUUCCACACGCAGUGUUUGUUCUUGUUUCUCGUUAAUUUUCUGUAGUUUUUACUUGAACUGCUGAUUAAUAUGCUGCUAUAGUUGUUUAGCUUUUGCGAAGUAUGUUUUAAUCGAUGAAAGAGACCAAUUUCCUCACUAAUUGAAAUCUCACUUUUUGGGUACAGUACAGUUUUGAUGACAAAGUCUUUGGUUAGAUUAUAUGAGAUUCUUAUGGGGGCAUCAUACAGCAUUUGGCAUUUAUUGAGUUGCCUUUUCACUAAUUUAAGUGGUUAAUUAGAUGCUGGAUGAGCUUUAUUGUUGCAAUUAGUCUAGGAUAGAUAAAAUUAUUCAAUUGGAAGUGUGCAAAAGUGCUUAUAGAAGGUCAUUAUUUCAUUUGCUAGCUUCUCCUUUUGUACGGCUGUUUGUAUUUUGAGAAGUCUUCACUUAUGAUUUUAUGAGCAUCUAAUAUGGUGACUGAAGCUGCACAUAAAGCAUAGGAGCUCAUCAGGCAUGGAACUAUGACUUCACGGCUUCUGCAUUGCCUGUGCUUUAACCUAGAACUAAGCUUUUCAGCUGUUAAUGAUAUUUGUUCUUGUAAUCAAUCAUCCUUUGUAACUAAACUAAAAAGAUAAUUGAUAAAUCUUGGUGUUCACAGAUACAACUAUUUCUUUCAUUACUGCUUGAAUAGAAGCAAUCAUUCUUACCAAGGAGCACACACUUGACACAUUUUCAUAUUAACUGCGUGUCUAUCCUAUCUAUAAAAUGACUUCUUUCAUAAUUUCUUAUUUUAUUUGGUGGUUAUAUCUCGGAGUUUUAUUAUUGUGAAAUCAUCCCGUCCUCAUGGAAUUUCGAGUAUUUACUUUUUGACACCGUUUGGGCCUUCUUGCCACUGUAGUUGCUCUUUUCAGUUCAUUAGCAUUUAGUCCAAACUACAUGUAUCAACGUUGACUCAUUUUUGAUUUUUGAUAGCUUAUAAACUUGCUUGUUUGUUGAACAGAUCGUAACCAAGAAGCAAAUUGCAGAUGUCUUUAUCCAAUGCCCACAUUCUAGAAGAAAAUGCUUUUGUGUCAAUAUGGGAUAUGAACGACAGAAACUUCCUGGCAGGUGUUUCUUUCUCCCCAUUUUAAUUUUUGCAAGUCUAAAUUUAAUUUAUCUUUAAGUUUGUGGGUGUGGAUAGUUUAAGGCCCCAUUAACCAAAGCAUC